CCCUUAGAUGUUCUGGGCCGCACGCGCGCUACACUGUUUGAUUCAGCGAGUCUUAACCUUGACCGAAAGGUUUGGGUAAUCUUCUAAAGUCAAACGUGAUGGGGAUCGAUCAUUGCAAUUAUUGAUCGUGAACGAGGAAUUCCUAGUAAAUGCAAGUCAUCAGCUUGUGUUGAUUACGUCCCUGCCCUUUGUACACACCGCCCGUCGCUCCUACCGAUUGAAUGUUCCGGUGAGCUCUUCGGACUGCGCGGUCUGCAGUUUCUGCGUUCCGUGCGGAAAGUUGCGCAAACCUUAACAUUUAGAGGAAGGAGAAGUCGUAACA
rnacentral:rRNA from 1 species